GAUGAACGCUAGCGGCAGGCUUAAUACAUGCAAGUCGAGGGGCAGCACAGGUAGCAAUACUGGGUGGCGACCGGCAAACGGGUGCGGAACACGUACACAACUUACCUUAAGGUGGGGGAUAGCCCAGGGAAACUUGGAUUAAUACCCCAUAAUACAGGGGGCCCGCAUGGGUCUAUUGUUAAAGAUUUAUUGCCUUAAGAUGGGUGUGCGUCUGAUUAGGUAGUUGGUGAGGUAAAGGCUCACCAAGCCAACGAUCAGUAACUGGUGUGAGAGCACUACCGGUCAAACGGGCACUGAGACACGGGCCCGACUCCUACGGGAGGCAGCAGUAAGGAAUAUUGGUCAAUGGACGGAAGAUUGAACCAGCCAUGCCGCGUGAAGGAUGAAGGUCCUCUGGAUUGUAAACUUCUUUUAUAGGGGGCGAAAAAGGGCCUUUUGAGGUCAACUGACGGUACCCUAUGAAUAAGCACCGGCUAACUCCGUGCCAGCCGCCGCAGUAAGAC
rnacentral:rRNA from 1 species